rnacentral:lncRNA from 1 species
GAAUUUUUAUAUAUUUUUAUGAUGGGUGAGAAAAGCAGCACCGGCGAGGCUAAUAACUCCCUGCUGCUACACGGGAAGUAUGAGUUAGGGCGGCUACUGGGGCACGGAACCUUCGCCAAGGUGUACCACGCGCGGAACCUCAAGAGCGGAAAGAGCGUCGCCAUGAAGGUGGUGGGGAAGGAGAAAGUGAUGAAGGUGGGGAUGAUGGAGCAGAUAAAAAGGGAGAUCUCGGCCAUGAACAUGGUGAAGCACCCCAGCAUCGUGCAGCUCCACGAGGUCAUGGCCAGCAAGUCCAAGAUCUACAUCGCCAUGGAGCUCGUGCGCGGCGGCGAGCUCUUUAACAAGAUCGCCCGCGGCCGCCUCAGA